AUUUAAAUAGUUUAAUAAAAACAUUGAUUUGUGGAAUCAAAAAUAUAAUUUUUAUUUUAAAUA
rnacentral:tRNA from 1 species